rnacentral:rRNA from 1 species
AGUAAUACAUCGGAACGUGUCUUCUAGUGGGGGAUAACUGCCCGAAAGGGCAGCUAAUACCGCAUGAGACCUGAGGGUGAAAGCGGGGGAUCGCAAGACCUCGCGCUGGAAGAGCGGCCGAUGUCCGAUUAGCUAGUUAGUGAGGUAAAGGCUCACCAAGGCGACGAUCGGUAGCUGGUCUGAGAGGACGACCAGCCACACUGGGACUGAGACACGGCCCAG